CGUGUGUGUGUGUGUGUAAAAUUCCUUUAAAAAUACUUGCAAACUCGAUUCAAUAAUAUAUCAAAAAAUCACUCACCAUGACCAAGCUGGUUUAUUCCAGAGAUGUAGCGCUGGUUCCAUAUGUCAAUAAGUGUUAUGAAUUUCACAAAUGAUCUCUUGUUUUUGAUAGAAUAGAAAUUAUAUGGGCCCAGGCAGUGGUGGCACACGCCUUUAAUCCCAGCACUUGGGAGGCAGAGGCAGAUGAAUUUCUGAGUUCAAGGCCAGCCUGGUCUACAGAGUGAGUUCCAGGACAGCCAGGGUGAAACAGAGAAACCCUGUCUUGGAAAAAAAAGAAAGAAAAGAAAGGAAAGAAGAAAAGAAAAGAAAUUGUACGGCGUCUUGAUAGACAUGGAAGGCUUUUGACAAAACCAACAUCAAUCAUGUCAAACAUCCCAAAGAAACUCAGAAUAUCAGAAACACAUCUCACCAUAAUAAUAUAUUUGGCAAGCCUAUAGCUGAUGUAUUAAAUGCAGAAAACAAGUGUUCCCACUUUCCUGACUCUUAUUCAAGAUGGUACUGAAAAAUCUUAGCUAGAACAAUAUAAAGCAAAUAAAAGAAAUAUAAUAUGGAAAGGAAGAAGUCAAACUAUCUCUAUUUGCAGAUAAUUCAAAGACUCUAAAGACUCCACCAGAAAACCUAAAGAAUGGAUAAAUUCUUUUCAACAAAAUGGCAAAACACAAAAAUGGCAAAUAUAGCCUUUUUAUAAACCAAUGAAAAAUAUACUGAGAAAGAAAUUCAGGGAAAUAAUCCCAUUCAUAACACUUUAAAAAUCCAAGCAAAAAAUCUCUUGUAUUAAACCUGACCAAGAGAGUGAAAGACCUCUAUGAUGAAAACUUUAGAUACUGAAGAAAGAAAUUAAAGAAGACACUAGAAGAAGGGAAGCCCUUGCAGGCUCAUGGGAUAACCAUACUUCCAAAGUCAAUUUAUAGAUUUAAUGCAACCCCAAAAGAAAUUAAGGGGUUGAGAAAUAUUGUCAAAAUACAUCAUAUACAUGCAUGAAAACACUAUAAUAAAUCCCAUUAUUAUGUAUAAUAAAUACUUAUUAAAACAUUUUGAAAACUUUAAUAUAGAUCCAAGUGGUUUUUAGAAACACAAUCACACAAAUACAUAUGACAAAACUCCAAAAUAACUGUCAGACAUAUGAUGUUCUGCCAGUAAUCCUAGCUCUGGUUAGGUGGAGACAGGUGGAGCCCUGAGAUUCAUUGUCAAACAGCCUAGCCUAAAUUACUGAUCUCAAUUGAGAGACCCGGCUUCAAAAACAAGGUGGGUAUUACCUGAGGAACAAUACCCAAGGUCAAUAUUUGGUCAAGAGAUGCAUGCAACCAUACAUUAAUACACACUAUAUACAAAUGGAACAUAAUUCAGACUAAAAGCUGUGGCACAUACCAAAACAUAGAUGGAUUUUAUACAAAAUGAAAUAACCCAGUUGCCAAAAGACAAAUAUAAUUUUAUUUUUACAAAGAGCCUAGAGACAUCAAAUUGUUAGCAAUGGAAAGUAGCAUGGUGGUUGCCAAAGGCUAUGAGAGGGAGAAGUGAAGAGUUAGUAUUAAUUUUGUAUAGAAUUUCAAUUUAAAAUGGUAAAAGAAUUCUGGUGAUAGAUGGGAAUAUUAAUCCAACAAUACUGUGAAUGUACUUAAUGCCA
rnacentral:lncRNA from 1 species